rnacentral:rRNA from 1 species
CUACGGGCUGCUCCAGUGGGGAAUAUUGUACAAUGGGGGAAACCCUGAUGCAGCGACGCCGCGUGAAGGAUGACGGAUUUCGGUCUGUAAACUUCUAUCAGCAGGGAAGAUAGUGACUGUACCUGACUAAGAAGCCCCGGCUAACUACGUGCCAGCAGCCGCGGUAAUACGUAGGGGGCAAGCGUUAUCCGGAAUUACUGGGUGUAAAGGGUGCGUAGGCGGCGACUUAAGUUAGAUGUGAAAGCCCGGGGCUCAACCUCGGGACUGCAUUUAAAACUGGGUUGCUAGAAUACAGGAGAGGUAAGUGGAAUUCCUAGUGUAGCGGUGAUAUGCGUAGAUAUUAGGAGGAACACCAGUGGCGAAGGCGACUUACUGGACUGUUAUUGACGCUGAGGCACGAAAGCGUGGGGAGCGAACAGGAUUAGAUACCCCAGUAGUC